rnacentral:rRNA from 1 species
GACGAACGCUGGCGGCGUGCUUAACACAUGCAAGUCGAACGGACAGGCCCUGCUUUUGUGGGGUGCUCGAUUGGCGAACGGGUGAGUGACACGUGAGGAACCUGCCCUUAACUGUGUGAUAACUUCAGGAAACUGGGGCUAAUACCGGAUAUGAGCUCCUGCUGCAUGUGGUGGGAUGGAAAGAGCCGGCGGUUGGGGAUGGACUCGAGGCUUAUCAGCUGGUUUGUCAGGUAGUGGCAGACGAAGGGUUAGACGGGUAGCCGGCCUGAGAGGGUGGCCGGCCACCAUGGGACUGAGAUACGGAGCAGAAGCGUACGGGAGGCAGCAGUGGGGAAUAUUACACAAUGGGCGGAAGCCUGAUGCAGCAACGCCGCGUGCGGGAUGACGGCCUUCGGGUUGUAAACCGAUUUCUCCUGUGAUGAAGAGUGCGUGACGGUAAUGGGUCAAAAAGCCCCGGCUAACUACGUG